rnacentral:tRNA from 2 species
CCGCCCGUAGCUUAACUGGCCUAGAGCCCCCGACUUUCAAUCGAGGAGAUGCGAGUUCGAAUCUCGUCGGGCGGACCA